GUCCGUUCAAAUUGCCACCAUGCAAUUGUCAAAAAAAAAAAUUGCCACCAUGCAAAAGAUCCCUUCAAUAUGAUACAUGAUUCAUCUGCGAUACAAAUAUUGACAAUUCAGCUUCAAUCGAUUUUCUUAGCCUCAUUUGAGAUGAUUGCAAUCUCUGCCUUAAAUUUUGAAAGGCAUAUGCUACUAAAGAAUGUUAUGAUACAUUCUUUUAGCAUCACCCUUUUCACUCAACCUUUUUGAUACUUGCACAAAAUAUUAUUGGUGUGCUUAGUGUGUCAUUCUAUGGUUUGGUUUUCUCCAAGUUUUUGUCAUUGUUUUCAUUUUUUUGUAGAGUCUUCUUUGCAAUCAUUAGCAUCCUCUGAUUGCAUGUGUUUGUGUGUGUACAUAAACAUUUUGCCUAUCCUAUUAACUCUGAAUAUAGAGAGAAAGAGUUAAAAGGUUAGGCAAUGUUGAAUUGGAUUCUUAUUUGUUAUUUUGGGUGUGCAUACAUUAUGUAAUAAUCAUUUUUCUCUGGUUUGGUUUUGAUGUACUGAAACUUAACUAUAUUAGGGAGUGGAAAUGCAUUUUGGUUUUGGUGUGUACAUACUAUUUUAAUUAACAUAGGCACCUUAUUAUAGAGAAUUCUUCAAAGAAAGAAAAAUGAAAGUGAGAACCUUCCCGAAGAUUUUCUCAGAACAAAACCAAACAAUUAGCUUCUCUCUAUCUACCUAGCACAAACAUUUCAUAUCGGUGGCGUGUCCACACGACACUGACAAAUGUAGUUACAUUCAACUACUUUCAUUUUCUUGAAUCAGUAGCAAUGUCUAUGUGUUAGUGUUGUGUUUGGUGUCUGUGUCGGUGCUUCAGAGCUCUCUAUCUCUCUGGCUCUUUCUCUACACAUGAAAGAAGAUUUUAACAUUGGUACUUCCCAAAUUUUCCAUGUUUUAGAUGAGAAAUGCAAUAUAGAUAGAGAAAACAUCACUAAGUAAGAGGAAACUUAGGUAAAUGAAAAGAGCAGCUAAAACCAUUGAAAAGCUUCAUUUGCUUUCCAACCAGAAAAACUGUACAUAUAGGAAAUGCAAAUAUUUUUACUUACAGAUUAUACGAGACACCUCUUAGCAGCUCAAGAAGCUCUAUUUGCAUUCUUAUUUUGUGGUCUAUUUUCUGUGUAGAAGAAGAAUUUUGAGUGACUGCAUUCUUAUUUGGUUGUUGU
rnacentral:lncRNA from 1 species